rnacentral:lncRNA from 1 species
GAACUUUAAAAUUUUUCCAUUUUUUUUAUUUAAGGUAGAAUUCUCGGACUGGCUGUAAUCCUACUUAAUCAGCAUAAUUUUGUUUUUUCAGUAUCGGGAAGCUUUCUUGAAAGCCAAUCCGGGAUUUAAGUGGUAUAAAUUACCAGCCCCGACAUUGAGGCCUAUUAGUAAUAGACUGAAACUUCUCCCAGACCUUAUUUCUCAUCAAGAUUCUAUCACUCCAGGGAAGCUUGCAGACGAGUCUCAACUUGGAGGACUUACCAGUCUACUUGUGCCUUACAAUAACAUGUCUGUUUCUCCCACCUUUGCCGUUCAAUGUGUACCAAAACCUCCCAAAAGCGCUAUCUUGAGGAAAAUGCAACCUCUGAUGAUCUAAAUCAAAUUUUGGAUGAGAUGCCAAACAAAGCAGCACUUGAGUCGGAAGCUGUUCCUAGUUAUUCCGAAAAUGAUUCUAGUGCUAUAAAAGCAAUAGAGAUCGAACCGUUUGCAAAGUUGCGUAAUUACUCAGUAACAGCCAAAGAAAACAUUGCUCAAGUGGAGAAUAAAUCUGAUGUAAAAAGUAUGUUGUUGCUUAGCAAUGGUUCUCUUGAAGCUUCGUCUGUUAAUAGUUGUUUAGUCGUUAAAAGUAAUACAAUAGUUUUUCUUACA